rnacentral:piRNA from 1 species
AGCCCAAGGAUGAAAAGCAGAGA